UUUAUGGAGAGUUUGAUCCUGGCUCAGAGUGAACGCUGGCGGCGUGCCUAAUACAUGCAAGUCGAACGGACAAGUAAGAGCUUGCUCUUAUGAGUUAGUGGCGCACGGGUGAGUAAUGUAUAGUUAAUCUGCCCUACACUGGAGGACAACAGUUAGAAAUGACUGCUAAUACUCCAUACUCCUUCUUAACUUAAGUUAAGUUGGGAAAGUUUUUUCGGUGUAGGAUGAGACUAUAUUGUAUCAGCUAGUUGGUGAGGUAAUGGCUCACCAAGGCUAUGACGCAUAACUGGUCUGAGAGGAUGAUCAGUCACACUGGAACUGAGACACGGUCCAGACUCCUACGGGAGGCAGCAGUAGGGAAUAUUGCUCAAUGGGCGAAAGCCUGAAGCAGCAACGCCGCGUGGAGGAUGACACUUUUCGGAGCGUAAACUCCUUUUGUUGGGGAAGAAAUUUGACGGUACCCAACGAAUAAGCACCGGCUAACUCCGUGCCAGCAGCCGCGGUAAUACGGAGGGUGCAAGCGUUACUCGGAAUCACUGGGCGUAAAGGACGCGUAGGCGGAUUAUCAAGUCUUUUGUGAAAUCUAAUGGCUUAACCAUUAAACUGCUUGAGAAACUGAUAAUCUAGAGUGAGGGAGAGGCAGAUGGAAUUGGUGGUGUAGGGGUAAAAUCCGUAGAGAUCACCAAGAAUACCCAUUGCGAAGGCGAUCUGCUAGAACUCAACUGACGCUAAUGCGUGAAAGCGUGGGGAGCAAACAGGAUUAGAUACCCUGGUAGUCCACGCCCUAAACGAUGUAUACUAGUUGUUGCUCUGCUAGUCAGGGCAGUAAUGCACCUAACGGAUUAAGUAUACCGCCUGGGGAGUACGGUCGCAAGAUUAAAACUCAAAGGAAUAGACGGGGACCCGCACAAGCGGUGGAGCAUGUGGUUUAAUUCGAAGAUACGCGAAGAACCUUACCUGGGCUUGAUAUCCUAAGAACCUCUUAGAGAUAAGAGGGUGCUAGCUUGCUAGAACUUAGAGACAGGUGCUGCACGGCUGUCGUCAGCUCGUGUCGUGAGAUGUUCGGUUAAGUCCGGCAACGAGCGCAACCCACGUAUUUAGUUGCUAACAGUUUGGCUGAGCACUCUAAAUAUACUGCCUUCGUAAGGAGGAGGAAGGUGUGGACGACGUCAAGUCAUCAUGGCCCUUAUGCCCAGGGCGACACACGUGCUACAAUGGCAUAUACAAUGAGACGCAAUAUCGCGAGAUGGAGCAAAUCUAUAAAAUAUGUCCCAGUUCGGAUUGUUCUCUGCAACUCGAGAGCAUGAAGCCGGAAUCGCUAGUAAUCGUAGAUCAGCCAUGCUACGGUGAAUACGUUCCCGGGUCUUGUACUCACCGCCCGUCACACCAUGGGAGUUGAUUUCACUCGAAGCGGGGAUGCUAAACUAGCUACCCUCCACAGUGGAAUCAGCGACUGGGGUGAAGUCGUAACAAGGUAACCGUAGGAGAACCUGCGGUUGGAUCACCUCCUUU
rnacentral:rRNA from 1 species